CACAGCCAGGUAUGCCUCGCCCCACAGUUACCUGGGAACAGAAAGGGAAUGGAAGUUCUUAUCACUUCUUCGGCUAGAGCAAUAGUGAUAAAAACUCCAUGGAUUGGUACAGAAACAGACACAUUGUUCAAUGGAAUCAAAUCGAAGACCCCAAAAUAAAGCCAUGCACCUAUGAUA